rnacentral:rRNA from 1 species
ACGCUGGCGGCAGGCUUAACACAUGCAAGUCGAACGGUAGCAGGAGAAAGCUUGCUUUCUUGCUGACGAGUGGCGGACGGGUGAGUAAUGCUUGGGAAUCUGGCUUAUGGAGGGGGAUAACUACGGGAAACUGUAGCUAAUACCGCGUAGAAUCGGAAGAUGAAAGUGCGGGACCGUAAGGCCGCAUGCCAUGAGAUGAACCCAAGUGGGAUUAGGUAGUUGGUGGGGUAAAGGCCUACCAAGCCUGCGAUCUCUAGCUGGUCUGAGAGGAUGGCCAGCCACACUGGAACUGAGACACGGUCCAGACUCCUACGGGAGGCAGCAGUGGGGAAUAUUGCGCAAUGGGGGGAACCCUGACGCAGCCAUGCCGCGUGAAUGAAGAAGGCCUUCGGGUUGUAAAGUUCUUUCGGUAUUGAGGAAGGUUGAUGUGUUAAUAGUACAUCAAAUUGACGUUAAAUACAGAAGAAGCACCGGCUAACUCCGUGCCAGCAGCCGCGGUAAUACGGAGGGUGCGAGCGUUAAUCGGAAUAACUGGGCGUAAAGGGCACGCAGGCGGUUAUUUAAGUGAGGUGUGAAAGCCCCGGGCUUAACCUGGGAAUUGCAUUUCAGACUGGGUAACUAGAGUACUUUAGGGAGGGGUAGAAUUCCACGUGUAGCGGUGAAAUGCGUAGAGAUGUGGAGGAAUACCGAAGGCGAAGGCAGCCCCUUGGGAAUGUACUGACGCUCAUGUGCGAAAGCGUGGGGAGCAAACAGGAUUAGAUACCCUGGUAGUCCACGCUGUAAACGCUGUCGAUUUGGGGAUUGGGCUUAAAGCUUGGUGCCCGUAGCUAACGUGAUAAAUCGACCGCCUGGGGAGUACGGCCGCAAGGUUAAAACUCAAAUGAAUUGACGGGGGCCCGCACAAGCG